CGUUUCUUCUCCCUGUAGCUCCUCUUCUUCUCAUCGAACACUUUUUUUUUCUUCUUCUUGCUUAAUCAAUGGUAUUCUCCAUCUUCUUCUUCACAUUCUCUUCACCUUCACUUUUUGGGCUUUUCGUUUGAGAGAUAAAGACUUUCUAGACGUUUUUUCUUCUCUUAUGCAGUACUAAGCAGAAGAUCAAUUUACAACAUACACCAAAAAAAAAAAAAUUGGUACUGCAAUUCGUUCUCUUUCACAAAACACACAAAUCUUAUUUUUUUUUUUUAAUUCUUUCAUUCUUAGGGUUCUUUCGAUUAAUAGAGUAAAUCAUUUGCUUACUCACCUAUCGCGAGGAAGACAAUGCGGUUUCAGAACUGCGAGUUAGAGUGGAAGAUGAUGUAGUUCAGAAAUUAGGCCAUUAUAUUAAACUCAGUGUGGAGUGUGGACUUCGAAGUAUUUCUCAAGAAGCAGAUCAUGAAGAGGAAGAAGAUUCAUUAUCACCGUCUUCUUCUUCUUCUUGUGGACGGGAUAGAUCUGUGUGGUUAUGUUCAAGCUUGGUCUUUUCUUCGCGAUUCUAACUGCUUUGGGUCUCGCUGGUUACAAAUGGCUCGCUCCUUCAAUCAUGGAUAAGGGAAGAAUGCUGCUUGAUAUUAAUUUCCGUGAAGGAAGUCUAGAAACAAAGGUUAGUAAGUUUCUUUUACCACAUAUAGAUGAUACCUUAACCUUAUUUUACUUCAUAGAAUCAAAUAUUGUCAAUUUUCUUAUAUAGAAUUUAAGUUCAUUACUAUAACUCAGGGGUAUAAGUGAAACAAACCAAGGAAACUUCACAUAACUUGAGUAUCAUGAAUGACUUUCUAAUAUAACUACGACAAUGUAGUUGUUUCAAUAUCCUCAAUUAAACACAAUAAAUAUGUAUCAUGUCAGGAAAAUAGUAAAGACAAAACAAAAGCAUAAGAUUUUUAAGAAAGUUCAAACGAAAAUGGAUGCAAAGUUCCAACAACUUUUGAUACACACCAUCACACGCUUCUCUUAACAUUCAGGUUUCCAUCUAACCUGGAAUAAGAAGAACCAUAUGUUCAUACAAAAAAAAAAAAAAAAAAAAAC